rnacentral:snRNA from 1 species
ACCUUUGUGUAGUAGUGGCAGUAUUAUAGCUAAUUAGGUUAAUCUGAGGCACGAUUAUUGCUAGUUGAAAUCUCUCUCUCGUUUCCCAGUGUUCAGGAGCGUUGGAUUUUAAAAUAUUGCUAAUAAG